UACAGAGGUCCCGAGCGUUGUUCGGAUUCACUGGGCGUAAAGGGUGCGUAGGUGGUUCUGCCAGUCUGAUGUGAAAUCUCCGGGCUUAACCCGGAAAUGGCAUUGGAAACUGCAGGGCUAGAGUGUUGGAGGGGGGACUGGAAUUCUCGGUGUAGCAGUGAAAUGCGUAGAUAUCGAGAGGAACACCAGUGGCGAAGGCGAGUCCCUGGACAACUACUGACACUGAGGCACGAAAGCUAGGGGAGCAAACAGG
rnacentral:rRNA from 1 species